GAUCAUGGCUCAGAUUGAACGCUGGCGGCAGGCCUAACACAUGCAAGUCGAACGGUAGCACAGAGGAGCUUGCUCCUUGGGUGACGAGUGGCGGACGGGUGAGUAAUGUCUGGGAAACUGCCCGAUGGAGGGGGAUAACUACUGGAAACGGUAGCUAAUACCGCAUAACGUCGCAAGACCAAAGAGGGGGGACCUUCGGGCCUCUUGCCAUCGGAUGUGCCCAGAUGGGAUUAGCUAGUAGGUGGGG
rnacentral:rRNA from 1 species